rnacentral:siRNA from 1 species
AUACCAAUGACAGCCACUGUA